GGCGGCCAUUUGAAUGGCCGAUGAACCCGCACAACCGCCGCUGAAAUCGCGGCGGUAAUUUGAAAAUUUUCUCUCUAAAAUCCCCCAUUGACCUGCAUCUGAGAUCCACCAAGCACUUCUCCUUCUCCACCCUACUCUGUCUCUAACCCUUUCCCUCCUCCGCUGCUAGGGUUUGGAGCUCGCAUCAGUGCCGCCGGAGGGAGUAACCGCAGCUUCUCUUCGUAGCA
rnacentral:lncRNA from 1 species